CCCUGCCUUUUGUACACACCGCCCGUCGCUACUACCGAUUGAAUGGCUUAGUGAGACCUCCGGAUUGGUUUGAAUAAGCUAGCAAUAGCAUUUUCGAACUGAAAAGUUGGUCAAAUUUGGUCAUUUAGAGGAAG
rnacentral:rRNA from 1 species